AUGACGACGGUCGUGAUCGGGCGACGACGAUCCAAGCAGAUACCCAUACCUCCCACCACCCCGGGGAUUCAUCAAGGCGAGGUUGUUGGAACUCAUGCUUCAGCCGCAGUUCCCCUCGGAGGCAGUGAGUGCUCUCCGAUUUCGAUGAAUCUAAUUUUCACAAAGUGCGACAAACGUAAGAAGACCACGAUGUGUGGUGGGUGGUAGGAGACGAGGAUGAUGAUGAUGAUGAUGAUGAUGAUGAUGAUGAUGAUGAAUGGUGGCAGAAGACACGAAGAAAAUGUUGAGAAAAUUUUCUUAUCUGCUCAUGCUGCGCUGAGGUAAUCACUGCCCCCUCAUGUCUCUCUGUUCGAAGCAGAUGACUGCCGAUGGAGCUAAAACUAGCACAAAGCAAGCAGCCAUUUUAACUCGACAAGCUAUAGAUCUACUUGCUUUACUUUUCCGCCGGUGGCAAUGAAUUAUAUGCUUGGGCAUAGCUUCAAUUAGUCUUGACGUAUGACUUGUGGGAACUUUGCUGCUCAAGCUUCUUCAAAUAAAUAUUAUAAGUAAAUAGGGUACGUUAAUUUUGAUUGCAGAGGUGAGCUAAGCAAAUUUAUGAAUGGUAAACAAUGUCUUCUUAAGAUGCAGGUGCAACGUCUGUUUGGGGCAGUCUUUUGUUUACAAUGACUAGUAGAAUCCAUGGCCGAGUAGUGAGAAUGGAAACUUGGCUUCCGCCGCCGCUGUCUCUGAACCCGUCAUGCUCAGUUCGAAUUCUGGGAGGAAGCUGAUUUCGCUUGCAGAAUUGGGACCGAUAAGCUCAGCAUCGUAGCUGUUGAUGGCGGAAACAUCGAAUGGAAGGCAGGAAGUGUCCAUCAUCAAGCUGGGUUGCAGCAGCAGCAGGAGGAGGAGGAGGAGGAGAAACAAUGAGACGCCUCUUCUUCGCUGCUGUGGAAGACUGCUGCUGCUGCUGCUGCUUCGAGAUUACGAGCCUGGAGAGCGAUCGAGGGUCAUCAGCUAUUUUAGCAAGGAACGACAUCAUCUGGUGCGGCCUCCUUUCGGUAGCCUUUAAUCGCUUGCUCAUAACCUGCAGCUCUUCUUCGAGGGCCCUCUGCUCCUGCCGCAACCUAAAGAGCUCCUGCAGGAGCAUCUCGUCCACCUCCGCUUCCAUGGCUCCCUUCUCCUUCUCGCUGCUGCUGCUACAGGCAAACAAGCCAGCAUGGGCUCUCUUGGUCCGCCUAAUGAUGCGAGGAAGGAGGUGAAUCUGGUCCCUGAGGAACGACUGGCGGAAAAGAUCGAGGAAGGAGUGACACUACAGACGUAGGUGUUCAGCUGGCGGACGAAGCUGGAGAAGUUACUGUGCCUGAAAUAGUAAGGCAGCAGGAACUGGGAGAACUCGUUGGGACUGAGCACCAGGAAGCUGUU